rnacentral:lncRNA from 7 species
CUGUCAUGGCUGUCACGCCCUGUGGAGUUCUGGAGACAAGGGCCUCUUCCUGAUCUCAGAGGGACUGGAGCAAGCUUGGUUCUGACGGACUCUAUUGUGCCCCGCACCAGACUCCAGAACAUCUGUGUCAUGGGAUGACACCUCUCUGCUGGGGAAGUCUGUUCAAAUUUCUGUUCAGAUCCUCAGAUGCUGCUCCAAGAGAGAUGGCAGUGCAAAUGUAUGUUGUGAACUUGUUCCAAGUCGUACAGAUGUGAACAUUUCUCCAUGAAACCAGAGCUGGAUGCUGAAAUGUCCUGGGCAGACUGUGCAGUAACAUAACCUGUAACAUACAUACUAGGGACAGAUGCACUGGUACUGGGAAGACCUGGAUAUUUCAUGUCCUUGCUCCAUUUGGACUUCUUCAGUUUGCUUUUCAUCUGUACAUCAAACCUGGUGUAUUCUAAUGGUGUCCUGCCUGGACCUCAUUUUGAGCUGAUGUUCAGACACAUGAACAUCAUGAGGCCGGCUAAGAAGUAUUUGCUCCACAGGAGCUGGGUGAGCCACAACAGGCUGGACUUGAACGAGAGAAGAGAAGAUGAAAAUUACAGCAGUGUGAUUUUGAACAUCUUAGUGAGUCACAGUCUAUUUGGGAGCAAUAAAACAUCUUCAGGACAUGAGUGAGGAAGAAGAGCAAGAAACAGAUCACAUCAUCUUUGCUUACUCCAAACAGGCCGCUGUUGUGGUACUCCAAAAGAUGUCUUGUCCAACAGGAGCUGUGCUGGCAGAAUUGGGUUCAGAUGCAGGGAGGGAAUUGAAUAGACCCGAAGUUGAGCACAGUUCUCCAUUCUCUUUUCUAGACAGACUGGUAGUGUUAAAGAGGUCGCUACUCUCUGAUCUAGAGUAAGUCUUACUUCACUGCUAAUCUGUGGACACGCCUUGUCCACACAUAGGUAGCUUCAUUGUUUAACCUCUAAUAAUCAUCCUAUCCUAACAGGGAGGCGUGACAUCUGUAUGAUGAUUGAUCUCUGACUCUAUUGGGUUACUGAAUGUUAUUCAAUU